UGGGGAAUAUUGCACAAUGGGCGCAAGCCUGAUGCAGCGACGCCGCGUGAGGGAUGACGGCCUUCGGGUUGUAAACCUCUUUCAAUAGGGACGAAGCGCAAGUGACGGUACCUAUAGAAGAAGGACCGGCCAACUACGUGCCAGCAGCCGCGGUAAUACGUAGGGUCCGAGCGUUGUCCGGAAUUACUGGGCGUAAAGAGCUCGUAGGUGGUUUGUCGCGUUGUUCGUGAAAACUCACAGCUUAACUGUGGGCGUGCGGGCGAUACGGGCAGACUAGAGUACUGCAGGGGAGACUGGAAUUCCUGGUGUAGCGGUGGAAUGCGCAGAUAUCAGGAGGAACACCGGUGGCGAAGGCGGGUCUCUGGGCAGUAACUGACGCUGAGGAGCGAAAGCGUGGGGAGCGAACAGGAUUAGAUACCCUGGUAGUCCACGCCGUAAACGGUGGGUACUAGGUGUGGGUUUCCUUCCUUGGGAUCCGUGCCGUAGCUAACGCAUUAAGUACCCCGCCUGGGGAGUACGGCCGCAAGGCUAAAACUUAAAGGAAUUGACGGGGUCAUAGCUGUUUCCU
rnacentral:rRNA from 1 species